UGACUUUAAACCUAUCCCAUUGAAAAACACAGGGGUUUAGCAAUAUUUUGGCACUUCCUAUUGCUUCCACUAGAUGUCACCAGCCUUUACAAAGUGUUUUGAGUCUUCUGGAGGGAGAUCUGACCGAACAAGAGCCAUGGAACGAUGAUGGCCCAUUAGACACCUUGCGCGCGAGUUGAUGUUGGGUACCCUCGUUCCAAUACGUUAUAAAAGAGUAUGCAUUCGUCCACCUUGAAUAUUAUUCAUGUUCUGGUUAAAAAAGGCCCUAAUUAUUUAUGCUAUACAACGUUUGACAUGUUUGAACGAACGGAAAUAUAUUUUUUCCCCUCGUUCAUGACGAGAAGUCCGGCUGGCUUACAUCAUGUGCUAACGAGACGGAGAUUUUUGGACAUAAAUGAUGAGCUUUUUUGAACAAAACUACAUUCGUUAUGGACCUGUGAUACCUGGAAGUGACAUCUGAUGAAGAGAAUCAAAGCUAAGUCCCCUCCUGUUCCAUGGUUUAACAAGCGAUGACCACUCUACUUCCAUUGUCAACUAACUCCUCACAUGAACUGGAAGCCACGUCUCAUGUGGCCCACUCAACCACUGGCACAUUGAAUGUUUCCUCUCCAAGCACGUCAAACCCUGCCCUGCACUGGUCAAGCCUCUGAACACCUCAACUCAUGCCUCAUACCCUCAUUCAAUCACUGCUGUGAUCCCUUCCCAAAAUGGUGUAGGUAGCCCUCUCAUUCCUAUUCCCCAUAAUAUUGUACUAUAAGUGUCUUUAUUAAAUGCUUUAGGUUAAAAUAAUUACUCUUUGACGAUUUUUGAAACACAUUUUUGACAUCUCUGUGCGUUCUGCUCCUAUACUGUGGGUCUCCCAUCCUCCUCAACAACAGACAUGUCUAAUAACGUGUAAUACAAUUCAUCAUUAAUAAUUCUGCAAGUUUUCUGUUUUCAGAAGCCUGAUUCUACUCACUGUGGUAGUGUGGAAGUGUUGAGCUGUAUUAUUUGGCCUGUGGUCCUGUUGUCCCCAGUCCCAGUGGUGAAGAUAAUGUCUUAAUUGAGCUUCUUGUCUGUGACUGAGAUACGUAAUCUGCACAUUUACUAAAACGUCAGCUCUCAUCUCUCCCAAUGUUCUCAAUGUCAAACAAUGAAGGCCGGGUAGUUUUUUUUCAUGAUUGCAACCCAGGUCAUUUUAGUCGGCUGGACCUCGCUACAUAUUCGUCGCCAGACCCACUGGCUCCAGGUCAUCUACAAGUCUAUGCUAGGUAAAGCUCUGCCUUAUCUCAGCUCACUGGUCACGAUAACAACACACACUCGUAGCAAGCGCUCCAGCAGGUACAUCUCACUGGUCAUCCCCAAAGCCAACACCUCCUUUGGCCGCCUCUCCUUCCAGUUCUCUGCUGC
rnacentral:lncRNA from 1 species